UAUAUUUUUAGUAACUUCGUUGUUCUUAAAGCUAUGUAAUUUUUUUCUGUAUUUUAAAGUUGAUAACUUCUUUGUCAUUUUGUGAUGGUUCUAAAAAUUAGUGUGUAAUUGUGAAAGUUUGCGUAACUUUUUUUUUGUAUUCUUAGUCUUAGCAAAGAGCGGAGAUAGAUGUCAGAUAGUUUGAUGUAACUGUACCAUAACAUCUUUCUCUCUCUCAAGGCAUUGUAAAUAAAAUUGGAUCUACAGGUAGGAAAAAAAACCAUAUUUUUUUUAAUUUUUAUUUCUUUAUUUCUUUCUAGAGUAGGCUGUGUAGAGAAACGAUGGGGGAUUUAAUGUGAGUGAGAGGAACCUGGGAUAGCUACCUGAGAAAUUGUGCUGUCAUAAAUUUAGCAUUGUCUGCCCUUCAGGAUGGGAUGUGAAAAAACAGAACUCAUAGCAAGAAAUUUGGGGGCAACAGUUGAGUUUUGUUCUUAAUGUUUUCAUAGCACUUUGCAGCCUUCUAAAAAUCUGUUUCUUUUUAAGUUUUGUUUUGAUUUAGGGGCUUUGUUCUUGAUAUUUAUGAAUGUUAUUGCUAACUUAUAGUUGAGGAGUGCUGUAAAUUUAUACUACAGUGUCUUGUAAUAUAAAUUAAUAUUACUUUUCUUUGUUUCAGAUUAUUUUAUUAGAUUGUAAAAAAUAUAUAUUAGAUUGUAAAAAAAUAAAUGCUGUCAAAACAGUGUCAGAUGCUGUGGUGUAUCUAUAGGUGAAGACGCUGAUCACUGUAUUCAGCAGAUCUGUGAUAAUGUUUCUUGAAGUAGUAUUAUGCACAGCCCUAUUCAGAGAUGAACUGCAAAGAUGUCUUUUUAUUUGUCCCAGAGGAAGAGGAAAUAAUUAGGAAACUAAUGAGCUAUACAUUAUGUUUUUUCCAUUGUAAAAAUUAUUCAGGUGGUAUAGACUAAUUGAACUGCAGUCAGACUAAGGUCAUACGGAUGACGUACUGAAUUACUUAGUGUAUUAUCAAGCUCUUCCUCUCUCCUGCCAAAUCUGAAAUAUACUGGUUUAGUUCAGUUCUUGUAACCUUAAAAAAAAUUUUUAAAAAAUCCCAUAUUUUAGGUAUAUCCGCAUUUCGAAACAUACUUUGAGUUUGCCCAGCCUGCAUGGUGAGUGUAGUUCAUGUGUUCAUAGUGGGCUUUUCAUUUAGAUAAAUAGGUUUCAAUUAAAGUAUAAUUAAAAGUCAGCUGGUCUUUGUGUCAAACUGUUUUUGUUUAGCAGAGUUUUUUUAGAUUAUGCUUAGUCUACCCAGCUCAUUUUUAAUAAUCCGGAGUGUUGCAUUCAAUGGAAUCAUUGCAUGGGAAGUGUUUUUCCGUUAUUUGAUUUUUUUUUCUGUUUUUCAAUUAUUAGUCUGUUAAAUGGAUAGUUCCGCUGAUGUUAGAAAACAACAAAAAAACCCCAAAUAUGUUGCUCCUAUAUUGUAUUUCCAAAGAGUCUGUAUUUUGUAUAAAGUAAUGCAAUAAUUAGGGUCCUUCAUAAUUUUACCAAUCAUUAUUGUAUGCUUCAGAGCAUGAAGCAUGAUUAUUCUUUCUGUAAGCUGUUUCAGCAAAAACUACUUUUAUAUCCUAUACCUAGAAUUCAUUACAGGAAUGACAGGGAUUACAAAUGUUGGUCAGAUGCAAACCCUUUGAAAUAUUGCAAAUAAAUUGUCUUAAUUAAUUUAGGAAUUCAACAAAUGCAGCAUAAAUUAGUAUUUCCUUUUCUUUUAUUCUAAAUAGAAAAAGUUCCAGAUUCUGAGCCCAGUUUUGCACAUGCUUGCAGGCCUUACUAACACUUACUAAUUCAGAAGUGCUUGAAGAGUCACUGUAGUUCCUUGCAUAAAACUCCUACCAAGUCAGUAGGGUUUUGCUACAGUACCAAAUUCAAGCUGCUGUACAAAGUGAUUUCUUGUAUUAACCAUUGUGUUAAACAAGAGAAUUAUUGCUUUUAACUUAAUUCAGUAGUUCAGCAUAAUUCAAUUACAGUUCAAGUUCUCUUCAUUGGGCUAUUUAGAUGGUUUUUGUGUUUUAGGAAGAGAGGCACACCAGGAACAACUAAUCUAUGCUGCAUGUCUCUGUGCUACUCUUAAGAAUAUCUGUACAGCACAGUUAAUAUCUUGGAACUGUAUUUUUAAAUGGGAUGCAGGUAAUUCAACAUUUUAGAGAAAUGGCUAUGAAUUCGCUUGAGAAGCUGAGCACAGAAACAAUAUUAAACCUUUUCUUGGGCUUAUGUGUUUUCCUUUGCAGAUACUGACUUUAGUCAGAUUACUUGCCUGCCUAAAUUUAACCAUGCGUCAUGGUAGCAUUUCACAUUUUGGUGACAUCCUAAGAUCUAGUAAUUCAAUCUUUUUAAGGAGUAGAAAAUAAAGAGGAAAAAUUUGCCAGAUAUUGGUGGUGUGGACUAUUGUGUAAUGAUUCAACAGAGAAAUUAAAAAUUUGUACUUCAUGGAUAGAUAAAUUUAUUUAACAAAAUUUUAUUUACCUGAGAGUAAUUUCCUUUUCGCUAACUUACUAAGAGAUGCAAAUAUUAUUUUCAUUGUUUUGAGAACAAAUUGGACUCUGAAAUUUCUAAAGGACAGUGUGUAAACCCAAAGCACGAAAGGUCCUCUGUACAACAUUCAGAAUUGUAUUCUGGAACUUGCAUUCUUCAGAAUGGGUCUGUCUGCCUUGAUUUAAAUCCACCUCAUCCCUUGACCAACUGCUCUAUCCACUAAACUUAUUGUACACUUGAGCACAGAGUGGUCAGAGAACAUUAAUGUUCUGUAAAUCACAGGUUCUGGCUAAUGAGGCAUUCUGUGCUGAUGUGUCUCACCUGUGUUAGUAGUGAGACAGGGCAGUGGUGCAGUGAAUAAGCUUUGUGAGUCUAACAAAGCAGUGAAAUAGGUGCUUUAGGUUGUACACCAGUCACUGGAGGAGGCUGCAUCAAGAAAUGAACCUUGACUCUCUCCCAAGGUCGUACGCACCCUGAGUGCAGACCUCAAGAAUUUCUGGAGCAUGUCUUAGACUGUGCAUGUGGUGAGGACUCUCAGGUUCUCCACAAAUAGUGUUACAAUGUCAGCAUUUUGGUAUUUUCUUGAAAGACACAUUCUGAGGAAACAGUUCCAAUGUCUUCAAAUGCUUGCUAAAGGGAUUAGCAAUUUAUUUAAAAUGCAGGUGAAUGUUGUGAAGGGGAAGAACAACUCUGAGUGUAUAGCUGUUAAUUCACGAUCUUCUAUCUGAAGAGCCACAUUUGUAUAGAAGAUCUUGUCUUUAGGCAUUUAAAGACUGAAAAGGGUGAGAAAUUAAAUAAAACCCAAAGUUAUGAUACAUUCUUCUAAGCAAUGUCUUGAGCAGCUGUGAUGUGGUAUUAGUUUGUGUAAUAGUAGCAACUUCUGGGGUAAAGCUAACCAUUAAAUCCUAGCAUAUUAGCAUUUUUGAAAAAAUGCUUAUUCUUAUUUUUCAACAUUUCUUUAACAUGAAAAUUUUAUAGCAACCAACUGCGUAUCUGGGUUUCAGUUACUCUGCUGCAGUUGUAUGUAUUUGAUAACCAGCAUGCUUUUUGACACUUUUCCAAACCACAAAGUCCUUACGUUAAAAACACUGUCCAUGAUCUGAGGAUUUUUCUCUAGGAAAUGUACCCAAGUUACAGCAUAAAUUGGGCUUCUUAAACCAGCUGCUAAACUCCUUCAUACCCAUGCUUUAGUGCACUCCUGUGUGGCAGAUAGCACAGCUGAAACUAUAGGACAUGCCCUAUAUACAGCAGAGUAACUUUGCUUUACUUUGUUUAAAGCCCCAAAUGCUAGCAAAGCAACACAACAUACCCAUGACUAGCCUCGUUUUCCUGAGUGUUAGGGGCUUCAUUAAAGCUUUUUUCAGCAAUGGGAAUUUUGCUGUGGGUUUCAGUAAGAGUAUAGCUGCAGAAGUAUUUAACCAAUUGGGAACAGAUGUAUGCUAGCUAUUACAUGAUAAUAUAAUUAAUUGAUAGUGAACUGUACUGAAAAUAGUAAUUAACUAAGACUUCACUAAUCUGUUCUUCAUUAUCAAUGUGUAUUUUAAUCUGCAUUAAAUAAAUGGUAUUGUCUUCCUAAAGCUCAGCAAAGACAAAACAGUAAGACUGUUAAUUGUGGGAAGGUUGUCCAGAGUACGUUGGGCAUCUGUGGAGACCUCUUUAAAUAGAGGACAAAUUAAUGCAAUAAGCUGUCCCAGCAGAAUGCUCUAAUACCUUCCCAUUUCACUGGGAAGCCCUCUGUUAAUUCAAAGUAUACUAUUUUAUUUUUACUAUCUGCUUCUGUCUAUUGAUAUUUCAUUAACUGUAAUUGUAGUGGUUAAGCAGCUCCACACUUUACCAGCAGUCCUCUCUGCCAUUAGUCCAGUUAUACAUUUAUAUUCAGGUUGCAGAGGGUCUUGGUCACCACUGCAGGAUGGAAAGAUGAGAAUUCCUGCUCUGGAUCAAAUCAACGGUCCCUUAAGUCUUCUGAGAGCAGCUUCCAACAAAGGUGUGGAAUAUCCUGUGAUGGAUAAUUGAGAAGUAAAAGGGCAUGCAGGACAGGAUUUUUCUAAAAUAGUUGGAGCUGAUCUAACAUCAAAGCAUAAGGCUUAAUUAGUGUCUAGGGUCAUGGGAUUCCAGUGGAUUUUGAAAGUUUUUUGUUACACAUGAAGUUUUUUGUGCUUAGUAUGUUUCUUUUUGAUACAUGGUUCUCAUCUCUGAUCCAUUUCAAACAUAAACACAGGUGUACAGAUGAUGAGAAGAAGAAAUAAAACUAUUUCUUUGAAAUAUUAGUUAAUUAUGUUCAAAAUUCAGCAUUGGCUGAGUGAGGAGAUGUCUCUACUACCUCUUAAUGCCUCUAAAUCUCAGUAGGCUUCUCAGCAUUAGGCACUGUGAAUAGAUGUGUACAUAUAGCUGGAGGAAAACAUAAUUAUUAACAGUGUUUAGCAUAGCAGGCUUUGCUGAUUAUGGAAUCACUCAUUUUGUUUGAAUUCCAACACUUUAUAUAUGUUAUUUAUGUCUCUCUGGGCCAUCUUUCUGUGGUCCUGAGCUAUGGAGAGUUGGAAUAACCUGGGUACCCCUGGACACUUCACUGACAUCAUUCUAUCAACUAAUAUGUGUUACUGUAAAGUGUCUUUUGGAUAAAACCUUACACAACGGAAAGGACCACGACUUGUGUAAGCCCACACACACAGUGAAGGAUUUGGUGUUCAUUUCUGAUCUAAGUUUUCCUUGUAACUCUGUAAUAUUCAGUAUUUUGUUCACAAAAGUACUUGUACCCAUUUGGCAUUUUAUGGAAAAUAAUAAUAAUCUGUUAACAUCUAUUAAUAAAUUGAAAAUUGUGUCUUGUGUUUGGCUUUGGUUUUUUUUGUUGUUUUUAAAUAGGAAUUUUAAAACUUCUCAGGUAAUUCUAGGAGAACUUACACAUUUUGAUGUUUUGUGGGGUUCUUGUACUCCUUAUCAAAAGCUUACUGCAGUUGUCAGGAACAUCCUUAGCUUUUAGCCACUCUCCAGAAUUCCCAUUUACUUAUUACUUUUUUUCCAUUUUGGUAGUCACCAUGAAGUCCUCUUCUAUUUGCUUCUCUUGCUUUCUCUGUCUGUCCUGUCAGCACAUUGAGAGAGUCAUCUUCCAACCCUUCACCACGAAAGGUAAUUUCAUCUUACUGCAUGUUCGAAGGACAACACAACAAAUUAUUAGGAGACUGUCUUGUUUUGGGAGAGGAUGUUUUGGCUUAGCCAUUGUUUGGAGUAUUUUAUGAGGAGCAGGGUUGUGGGGACAGAGAAGAAGUUAUAUUACCUUUCCCCUUUGGAUUAAGGCUGAUGCUGGUCUGCCACGCUGCUUUUCCUUUAGAGGAAGACCCUGAGCUAUUUUUCUGUUGGUUUCAACAUUAAAAUACAGCAUAUCCCCCAAUCAAGCAUGUAGCAAAUUGUCUUGCAAGAAUCUUAUCAGCCUCAGAAGAGGCACUGAUCCAAAGUCUUCUUGGGGAAAUGCUACAGACACCUUCUUUUCUGCCUUGAGCUAUGCUUCAAAAUACAUUAAAAGUAAGUCAGUUCCAGCUAUUUUUAUGACUGGCCUAAUUUUGCUGGACAUUUCAGAGUCUUGCUGAGGACAUGCCUGUUUGACUUGAAUUCUGUUAUGUUUCUUUUUAUUGGAACAGCUCACUGCACUGCCCAGGGUUUUAAGCACUCUCCCUUUGGAACUACAGGGAUGCACCCAUGGGAUGCUGGUGCUUUCAGUAAGACACACUGCUGUUCCCUGGCAGGCAGUACAGGCAGGAGUGCCCAGGAGCAGGCGAGAUGAAGGUUACUGCACCCGAAGGAAACUGGCCGUGCACCCGCUGAGAAGUUCUGCCGGUUGGCCACCAGGUGGAAGCAGGGCUGCACUCGGGGAAUUGCAGGAACUGCAGCUCCUCCGGGGCUGCGCUCAGCUCCAAAACAAAGCGCAACAAAGCCCCUGCCCACCCCAGCAGAGUCGGGAUAAAGGCACCCACCAGCCUUGCAGGUGGGGUGAGCUGCAUCAGCACACUGCCGGCUCAGGCAGUGUGAUCACCUGGCUGGUCUGCCCUUACUGUAACCACCAGGAACAAUACUCAGAGCAUGUUUAUCUCCCACCAUCCCAGCUCUUCAUCACCACUUUUUCAUAAUUCUCUAACCUGAGGUUGCAGCUUCAGGACCAGCAAGUAGCAGCAGUGACUGUAAACUUUUUCUCUUAAAUAACAGAGGUGAGUUGUGUGAAUAGCCCUGUUCCUGUCAUUUUUGUUCACAUAUUUGCCCAGCCUAUGUCACUUCCGUGCCUUGGCAGACCCCUAUUAUGUUUUUGUCACUAGCUUGGUAAAAGUCUUCAUGUGCACCCACUGUCCAGCCACCAGAGCAAACAGAAGGGAUAAGGGGUGGGCUGUGCUAUAAACUUGGUGGUUAAGAAUGCUAAUUUAGAUUUCUCUUUCCUAUCUAGUUUCCAACAGUCAAAUGUAUAGAGAACCUUGCUGCUAUUACCAAGUUUGGCUGAAAAAUUCUGUACUUGACUAGUUAGGUGAGAGAGAGAGAGUAGAAACAGACAGAGAGCACCACAUGUACUUCUUCCCCUUCUUGCCUUUCUUGAUAAAGGCUGGACAGUUUUUGAAUAGAAACAAGAAUCGACUAUAUAUACUAAUUGAAGGACAUAGAGCUAUCAAAAAAACCAAAAAGCAUACCAGAGUUCCCAAAGUUAUGCUACAACCUUUAAGGGGAAAAAAUCUAAAGCUUUUGAACCUCUAUAAAUUCUGAAGUGAUAACUGACUUGUUGCACAGCUGAAGUUACUCCUCUGUGUUUGUACAACACGGGGUGGGGGAAGAGUGAAAAGCUUUUUUAUCUUACGAGCCUGAGAACCAAAUGUUUUUCUGAAUAUAGUAUUCAGAUACACCCCUUCUUCCUAUUUUUUGGCAUAUAUCACACACAUUUUUCUUUUGCUAUGUGCCAAUAAACCCCUGCUCCUGCUAAAAAAGUAACAUUCCACAAGGACAGGAGGAAGGUUUCACGCUGGACUUGCUCCUGUGAACUGCCACAUUUAAACCAGACUGCAGUCUCCCUCGCUGCCUCGCUAACAUAGCAGUAUCUCAGUAAAAUGAACAGUUACCCUUUUCUGCACCGCCACGAGAACUGACCCUGUCCCUGCUGGUAACUGAAAAUGGCAGGCUGAGUAAAACCAUGUCCAACACUGAACACUUAACUGGUGUGAGGACACUGUGAUAUACCAGGAUAACCAGGAAGAGUCUUCUCCCUGGGCAAAAGGAAAACAAUGUUUUAAAAAGUUACAUGUUUGUUACUGAGAAAUUUUAAGCAUGGACUAAAAAAGGAAUUUUAUAAAACUAAGACUUCUACAGCAGCACCCCCAUGUAUGCAGUAUUAUUCUACACUGAAAAGUGUAGCUUUGCCUCAUGCAAAAUUAACACCUUUCUUUUUAAUAAUACAGUUGGAAAUUAUGACUUUAUGAUACAGUUCCCAUAUUCACAAUUCCUGGAAAAAUUACACUGAACUUUUGUAGGCAGUUGAAAAGGAAGUUAUCCUUCUUCCAAAUUUACAUUAACCAGCAUAAUACAGAGGAGAAAGUCACUGUUCUGAAGUUAUUCAAAAGCAUAAAAAACCCCCAACCACCCAACUAAAAAAUACCACAGACAACCCCUUCUCCUACUUUGCUAUAUAAAGAUCAAUACACAGAGAAACUAUUCUGAGAAUUUUUUUUCUGUAUUUGAACUGGUAUAAAGGCCUUUAGUCUUUCCACUAUUUUUUAAAGCAGUUCAGUAUGAGGAAGCUGUGUAAAGGCUGGUUUGUUGUUUUUUUUUUCCCACAACAUCAAAAUGAUUUGUAUUUCCUCCAAGAACAGUCUCAACUGAAACUAAAUGAAGAAACA